UGCUGGUCCGAGUGCAGUGGUGUUUACAACCAAUUGAUCACAGCCAGUUACAGAUUUAUUUGUUCCUUCUCCACUUCCACUGCAUCUCCUGACUAGCCAAAA
ensembl:misc_RNA Y_RNA Y RNA